rnacentral:rRNA from 1 species
GUAGCGGCGAGCGAACGGGGAGCAGCCCAGAGCCUGAAUCAGUGUGUGUGUUAGUGGAAGCGUCUGGAAAGGCGCGCGAUACAGGGUGACAGCCCCGUACACAAAAAUGCACAUGCUGUGAGCUCGAUGAGUAGGGCGGGACACGUGGUAUCCUGUCUGAAUAUGGGGGGACCAUCCUCCAAGGCUAAAUACUCCUGACUGACCGAUAGUGAACCAGUACCGUGAGGGAAAGGCGAAAAGAACCCCGGCGAGGGGAGUGAAAAAGAACCUGAAACCGUGUACGUACAAGCAGUGGGAGCACGCUUAGGCGUGUGACUGCGUACCUUUUGUAUAAUGGGUCAGCGACUUAUAUUCUGUAGCAAGGUUAACCGAAUAGGGGAGCCGAAGGGAAACCGAGUCUU